GCCUUCGUGGUGUGAUGGUCAGCACAUUGAGCCGGUAUUUCAGAGGUCCGUGGUUCGAUUCCCGGCGAAGGCG
rnacentral:tRNA from 1 species